AGUCCUCUGUUAAAUCCAACCGCCCAACGGUUGGCCUGCAGGGGAUACUACGGGACUAGGAGGCGGGAGAGGCCGACGGUACUCCACGGGUAGGGGUAAAAUCCUCUGAUCCGUGGAGGACUACCAGUGGCGAAGGCGUCUCGCUAGAACGCGCUCGACGGUGAGGGAUGAAAGCUGGGGGAGCAAACCGGAUUAGAUACCCGGGUAGUCCCAGCCGUAAACUAUGUAGGCUCGGUGAUGGACUGGCUCCGAGCCAGUCCAGUGCCGCAGGGAAGCCGUUAAGCCUACCGCCUGGGGAGUACGGCCGCAAGGCUGAAACUUAAAAGAAUUGGCGGGGGAGCACCACAAGGGGUGAAGCCUGCGGUUCAAUUGGAGUCAACGCCGGGAAUCUUACCAGGGGUGACAGCAGAAUGAAGGUCAGGCCGAAGACCUUACCACACCAGCUGAGAGGAGGUGCAUGGCCGUCGCCAGCUCGUGCCGUGAGGUGUCCUGUUAAGUCAGGUAACGAGCGAGACCCUCGUCUCUAAUUGCUACCAUCAUUCUCAGGAAUGGUGGGGGGAAUUAGGGAGACUGCCGUUGUUAAAACGGAAGAAGGAGAGAGCCACGGC
rnacentral:rRNA from 1 species